rnacentral:tRNA from 1 species
ACAAGGUUAAGUUAGACAAGACUGUAUGUUUUCAAAACAUUUAGCAACUCCUUUAGUUACCUUGUG